CUUAUCUUGUAUUUAAAGUUAGGUUUAAAAUAGUGCGCAGUAUAUAUUUCACAUUCAUUCACUAAACUUGUAAAGGUAAACAAAGCAUAGCAAUGGACAAGCGUGUUGCAUUAUUUGCGAUUGUUCUCAUCACAUCAGUAUUCAUAGAGUGUUGGGCACAGUUUGCAGAGAAGGGUGAAAUAUGUGGUGGAUAUGCGGGGACCCCGUGCAAUGAGGGACUGAGAUGUGAUAAUUCACUGGGCACUGCUGGGCGUUGUAGAAGUGGGGGAUUCUUGGCGAUUUUAGCUCCCAGUCAGGACACAUGGUGAAAAAUCUAUUACGAAACGGAUGAAGUCUGUCAUAUUUCCAACUCGAUGUUCCUUCAUUAUCGAACACGGAUUGUAUUUGCCAUUAUAUUACAUUUUAUACUGUUUAAUUAUUAAUUUAAAUUGCGUUUAUUAAUUAUUUCGUGAUUAUUUUAUGCGUGUGUAUCUUGAAGGAAAUAAAUUGUGAUAAAACAAUCAACAACAUAU